ACUCCUGCUCCAGCGGCAUGAUGUGAUCCACCGGCAAGGAGGGACGCCAAUAAGGCGUCCCAUAAGCCAGUAGACGAGGUUUGACUCUGGAGGCGACGUCUGUGUCAGCAGGUAUUUGGAGUCUGGAGAAAAAGCCAUGCUGAUAAACUUUUGAACUUGGAAGUCAAAAUUAUUCAGGACUUUGCGCUUCCGGCAAGGGAUGGAUGACAGCUCAUAAAUAGUGAUGGUUGAGACACAUGCAUGUGACCUUCCCUUUUCUGAGAAUGUAGAGAUGACAGCUGGAAACACAGCCAGCAUCUUGCAGCCGUGCAGAAACAAGCAUGAAAUGAAAGCUGCGUGAGAAUUAAAGUGUGAACACCUCAUCCAGAAGGCACGACAGGGCCAUAGCAGAUUCUGUUAUGUGGGCCUUGGGCACUUUGCCUUUAUGGGUCUCUUCCUUCAUUAGAAAUGAUGAAAAUAGGGCUGGUGACUUUUUCACAGGACCCGAGUUAGGUUCCCAGCACCCACAUUGGGUGGCUCCCAAAUGACCUGUAACUCCAGCUCCAGGGAGCUCCAAAGUCUCUGGCCUCCACAGACGCUCGCCCACAC